GCCGUUUGGAAACAGCAACAGGACCCUGUCCUAAAGCGCCUGGGAACUCGAGAAGCCUGUAAACAGUCUGAAACGGCUGGCGUUAGGACCUGUAACGGCUUGACAUGGCAUCCUUCAGAUUGGGGAUAAAAAAGCAGGGAAAAAAUGGGGAUAAUCUUCUGAACUGGAGAAAGACAGUCACUCUGAGGAGACAAGGAGAGCCUCUUUAGAAGAGUGGGAUGUGCUUUGUAUAGUAUGUCCUGCUUCUACCAAGCCCCCCACCGUCUGAUCCAAAGUCUACUGUGCUCACUGGGAGGAGCGGAGGAGAAAGCAGGAGGUCCAGAACCUUGAAGGACUUUCAGGUUAAUGUUUGGACUUGAGAUCCCUGAGAUCAGAUACAGAUCACCUCCUCACCCCUCCUCUACGAACAACUUCUCCUUUACGUCAAGACUGAAACAGCCCUGGGGUUACAACCUAAACAGCUUAUAGGGAAGGAAGAUUUAAAGACUGUGUUUAAAAUCUGAACUGUCUUGUGCAGUGCUGUUCUUUUUAGAAUCACAGUUAUCUCCUCUGGCUCUUUAUUUUACUUCCUUCCUCCCUUCCUUCCCCCAUCUGUUUUUCCCAGCUAGAAUCACAAAGAAUUGGCAACAUAUGAUUAUAAGAAAUUCUCCAUUUGGGAACUGCUGUUUUAUCUUAACCAGGAUUACCUUAACUAGGAUUUUACUUAUGAAGAUCUUUCUGGGGCCAGAUCUCCCCAUGGGCCAAUUUGAUGCAGUGAGAAGGAAAUAAAUAAAGAAGAAGUAAAGAAAACUCUUCAGGGUUUGUGCUCAAGCAGACAUACAAACAGCUACAAGGACAACAAAGAGGAGCCAUCAGAGCAGCUGUCUGUACACAUAAUCCUGCUACCAUAAAACCAACAUCGGAUUUUGGAUCCAAUGGAAAAAGGCCAAUUUAGAUCCCUUUCAGCCUUUCUAAGGGAGUAAUUCAAAGGCAAAGGAGGUCUUCCUCCGGGUAAACGCUCACAAGUCCACUGGCACCAAGGGUAGAGGCCCUAUGAGGUCAGGUAAGGCAGAACAGUUAAGAGGUGAAUAACCUAAAUCAGUUAUACUUGUAUCCAGGGGCUUCUAUGACAAAGAAGCUGCAGUUUCUUCUUGGGUAACCCUUAGGCAGAAGAAACUGUUUGAGCUCCUUCUGAUUACUCUACCAAGGCUCUGGAUGGUUCCCACAUAAACAUGAUAAAUUUUGGAGCUUUCCCAGCUGUAAGAAGGUUUCUUACUUAUUGCCUUUGGGCUCCCAGGGAAAGUUUACAAGCACUGCAGUUGUUCCUGAGUUUCUAUAUUAUUCUGUAGGAAAUAAAUUGUCAGGCUGAAGAAGGGGAAAAACAGACUGCCACUUCAGAACAGAGCUUAUACUCACUUCUGUGAAUCAAAGAAAACCCCAAAGCCUUUUACUUUGCUCUGUUUUGCAUAUCAGGAUGGUCCUGCAUGGCUCAAUGCUGCAAUGGACUUUUAGCUCAGACCUGGGAGACCACAGAUACUAGCCAGCAAGGGAUACCUUCUGAGGGUUUGGCCUUGAGCUCCGCAAAACCCAAGCUCAUUUAGAUCUGUCCCUAUUUAUCUUUCCAAAUGCAGAGAAGGACUGAUGUUUGCAUGGCUCUAAUCUUGGCCCGUUUCUCCCUCAAACACAGCCAGGCAGGAUGUGGAUGGAUCGGUUUGGGCAAUGUGAUCUGCUUGGCUUUAGAAAUCAAAAAGCCAAGGUAUCUUGGAUAAUAUGAACUCCCAGGGUAUGGGCUGCUCGGAGGGAGGGAAUAGCAGUUAGUGACUGGUUUUGUUCUCUUGCCAGCAACAAACCAAGGCUUGGAUUAAACUGUGAAUGUAUUUCCAACUAAGGGUUCCUUAUUAUGCUGACACUGAAAUAUGGCCUUGACUGAAGGCUUUUUCAUCUUCAGUGCCUAGGGUUAUAAUUUUCUGAUGAUCUUAGAGUCAUCUUAGGGAAGUGUGGGGCUGUGAGCCAGGGGCUAGAGGGGAGACCUUCUUCUCAGAAUAAAUGCUACCGCUGAGCUUCCAGCUAGCUGCCAGGAGAAGGACCUUGCGUCUCCAAUGGUUUUGACUUUCAGAGGCAAUUUCAAGGCAAGAGGUCUCAGUGGAGGUGAGCUCCAGGCCUAGAUAUGAGUAAAAUGUCACUGGUGGGUGACACGGGGAGAACGAGCAGAGAGUUGUGACCUCACUGCCUACCUUUCCCUUGGCUGGGAGAGGCUCAGAGGCAGAGGACAGCACAGAAAACUACUCACACAGGCUGUCUGGCCAGGGUGGGGAAAGAGGAGGUGGCAGGAGACAUGCUUCUACCCUGGGAGAGGGGCUGCUGAACGGUGUGCAACGGUGGAGGUGGGAACCUCAGACACGUGUGGGUCUCGGGGGCAAGCCAGGGCGAGUGUAGACUGAGCCAGCUGUGUACCUCCCUGCUGUCCCAAAAGGAUUGAAGCCCCGGACACGGAGGGGCCCACCGUGGAGUAGUGGCCACUUGGCAGCCACCACUGCUCUUCAACCGUGUCUCCCCCUGUCUUCAGAGGAGAUGCCGUGACGUGGAGUGGGGACAGCAAGGGUCUGGCAGAGGACGUUGAGUUGGAAGGGGGGUAGGUUAACGUGCUAAAUAUGUAUGAGAGCACCUCUUCUGAAGCGGGGGGAUCAGGAUGAGUGACCUAGUCAGGCUCUGCUUGGGAGAAGGAGAGGAAGAGAUCGGAAGGGCUCUGCUUCAGGGCAGUAUGUUGUGAACUUGUCCCUUUUCUGGUCCUCCUGCCGGAGUGGGAAUACACAUCUUGGUGCAGUUGUGGAAAGAAAAGGACAUGAUGACGUUUAUUUGGCUGGAUAUUGUGCGGGCUACAAAGGGAAACCAGUUAUUUACUGGAAGAAGACGCAGCUUUUACGCCCUGCUUCUAUAAGAUCAGGGUCCAGUCCUACAGAAAUAUUUUCCAAGAUACUUAUAGCACCGAACAAUUUUCAAAAUGGAAAAUAAAAGAUUGCCUGCUCCACAUGUAGCUGUAGGGUCUGCCAACUACGUGUUAGGCCCUGCUGUAUGCAACCCACACUGCAGAA